rnacentral:tRNA from 1 species
GCCUACAUAGCUCAGUUGGUUAGAGCGCAUGACUGUUAAUCAUGAAGUCCCUGGUUCGAGUCCAGGUGUGGGCGCCA